rnacentral:lncRNA from 1 species
AUUAAAACAACUUCUAAUUGUGGAGGAAGACAGCACUUGGUACGGACUAGGUCCGUGUGAUGUGUAGCCGGUGACAUGCUGUUCUCCAGAUUCCAAGAUGCCCCUGAAGUUGCUGUGGCUGUCCUGGUGUGUGGGGGUGGUUGGAACAAAGAAUUCGUGACCAAUGUUCUUUUCCACACAGUUCACAAGGAGGCGGCAGGAAUGCUGUGUGAGCUAUUUUGGUCCUGGCUGCGUAGGAGUUGCUGGAGGCUGCUCUGGGGUUUGUGAAGGCCUCUACCUCUUAGGAGGUUUCUUCAGGGGAUGUCCUGUUCACUUUACAGGACACCAAAAGCCUUUAAUCAACUGCCUACUUUUAGUGCUGAAAUGGUGGAGGUGGCUGGCACAAACCAGAGUUUGCUGACUCCUUCCUUUUCUAGAGAGAGAAGAGCGGAGUGCAGAACACAAGGCCAACAAGGACCACUUGAGAGGCAGCUUCUCAGUGAUGCUGGGUUUGGCCACACGGUUUGCUUUGGAAAUGUGGAUAGUGACAAUGUGACAGUUCUGGGUCAAGGCCAUCCGAGGCAUCCUGUGUUUCAUCUUGCUCUGUAUUCCUGGGCUCUCUUCUGAGAAGAGUAGGCCCUAAGUAGCCGCUGGUCCAGAGAGAAUGAAGCCUGGGAAGCACACCUGAGGCCAAUCCUGGCCACAUCGGGCCUACAGACUCAUGGAUGAGAAAAUAAAUAUUGGUUGUUAUAAGCCA